rnacentral:rRNA from 1 species
AGCUGUACGUAAGCGUUGAUCCAGAGAUUUCCGAAUGGGGGAACCCACUAUCUUUAGUCGGAUAGUAUCCUUACGUGAAUACAUAGCGUGAGGAAGGCAGACCCAGGGAACUGAAACAUCUAAGUACCUGGAGGAAGAGAAAGAAAAAUCGAUUUCCUGAGUAGCGGCGAGCGAAACGGAAAGAGCCCAAACCAAGAAGCUUGCUUCUUGGGGUUGUAGGACACUCUAUACGGAGUUACAAAAGAAAGUUAUAAAUGAAGCGGUCUGGAAAGGCCCGCCAAAGACGGUAACAGCCCGGUAGUUGAAAUGGCUUUCCCUCCAGAGUGGAUCCUGAGUACGGCGGAACACGUGAAAUUCCGUCGGAAUCCGGGAGGACCAUCUCCCAAGGCUAAAUACUCCCUAGUGACCGAUAGUGAACCAGUACCGUGAGGGAAAGGUGAAAAGCACCCCGGAAGGGGAGUGAAACAGUUCCUGAAACCGUGUGCCUACAAGUAGUUAGAGCCCGUUAAUGGGUGAUAGCGUGCCUUUUGUAGAAUGAACCGGCGAGUUACGAUUUGUUGCAAGGUUAAGCGGAAAAAGCGGAGCCGUAGCGAAAGCGAGUCUGAAUAGGGCGCAUAAGUAACAGGUCGUAGACCCGAAACCAGGUGAUCUACCCAUGUCCAGGAUGAAGGUAAGGUAAUACUUACUGGAGGUCCGAACCCACGCACGUUGAAAAGUGCGGGGAUGAGGUGUGGGUAGCGGAGAAAUUCCAAUCGAACUUGGAGAUAGCUGGUUCUCUCCGAAAUAGCUUUAGGGCUAGCCUCGAGGUAAAGAGUCAUGGAGGUAGAGCACUGUUUGGACUAGGGGCCCUUCUCGGGUUACCGAAUUCAGAUAAACUCCGAAUGCCAUGUACUUAUACUCGGGAGUCAGACUGCGAGUGAUAAGAUCCGUAGUCGAAAGGGAAACAGCC